GGGGGGCCGUGAAAUCAGUUGCUGUCCGUCGAGACGACCUGAGUGUUGCCCAACAGUUUUCGGAGAAACUACAAAAGAUGGCAGCACUACUAAAGAAGAAGAGGCAAACAGGCAGCAAGCAGAAGUAAAAUCGCAACAAACAACUUAGACAUCAACUACCAGCAAUAGAAGAAUAUGAUUAAACAUUUUGCAACAGCAAUAACAACAAUGAGAAAGCGAGCAACAAAAGUUCAUUCACCUUCCUCAAAAUUAUUACUUUUUUUAUGUUUAUGUAGUUUGCUGCGCGCUAACGUUUUUUAUUUUUUGGGAUUUGAGCUUUGCUUUUGAUUGUGGUAUUCGUUGUGAAAUGUAUAACCAACAUUUGACCCACAAUAAAUAAUAAUGAAACGGAAUGGGAAUGGAAUGUGGAGUGGAGUAUGUGUAGUGACACUUAAGAAGAACAGAAAGAAAUGCGAGUUACAUGUGU